CCUACGGGUGGCAGCAGUGGGGAAUAUUGCACAAUGGGCGAAACCCUGAUGCAGCGACGCCGCGUGAGCGAAGAAGUAUUUCGGUAUGGAAAGCUCUAUCAGCAGGGAAGAAAAUGACGGUACCUGAGUAAUAAGCUCCGGAUAAAUACGUGCCAGAAGCAGAGGUAAGACGUCUGGAGCAAGCGUUAUCCGGAUUAACUGGGCGUAAAGGGGGCGUAGGGGGCCUGCCAAGUCCGAUGUGAAAUGCCGGGGCUCACCCCCGGGGCUGCAGUGGAAACUGGCGGGCUAGAGUGCGGGAGAGGCAGGCGGAAUUCCUGGUGUAGCAGUGAAAUGCGUAGAUAUUGGGAGGAACACCAGUGGCGAAGGCGGCCUGCUGGACGGUGACUGACGCGGAGGCUCGAAAGCGUGGGGAGCGAACAGGAUUAGAUACCCUAGUAGUC
rnacentral:rRNA from 1 species